rnacentral:rRNA from 1 species
AAACCAACAGGGAUUGCCUCAGUAACGGCGAGUGAAGCGGCAAAAAGCUCAAAUUUGAAAUCUAACACUUUCAGUGUUCGAGUUGUAAUUUGAAGAAAGUUUCUCUGAGUAGUCCUUUAUCUAUGUUCCUUGGAACAGGACGUCAUAGAGGGUGAGAAUCCCGUAUGAUUUUGGAUACUAUUCUUUGUGAGAUUCUUUCGAAGAGUCGAGUUGUUUGGGAAUGCAGCUCUAAGUGGGUGGUAAAUUCCAUCUAAAGCUAAAUAUUGGCGAGAGACCGAUAGCGAACAAGUACAGUGAUGGAAAGAUGAAAAGAACUCUGAAGAGAGAGUGAAAAAGUACGUGAAAUUGCUGAAAGGGAAGGGCUUUAGGUCAGACUUGGUGUUUAAAUGAUUAUCUUCUCUUUUUGAGUUGUGCACUCGUUUUCACUGGGUCCAAUAUCAGUUUUUGUGGUAGAGCACCUACUGGAAUGUAGCUUUCUUCGGAUGAGUGUUAUAGCCUUUAGACGUAUCUU